AAACGGGCACUCCUUGUUCCGAUUCGUCGGAGCCGGGAAUGUCCCCACUUCUUGCAAGAACCGUAAUAAAACUCUUUUGAUUGUUACCUUGAGACGACUCCGAGCAUUUAUUUUGAAUAAGGGUCUUGGUAUCCCACACAGUUUUGGGGGCUCGUCCAGGAUCGAUUUCUCUUUGGGAGGACGGUCUGAACCCCCGCUGAGAGGCAGGCGACCCCCGCUGAGAGGCAGGCCAUACCCGGGAAUUUUACUCCUGGGAGCCUUUGAUAAGGAGAGGUCAGGGACCUCCACUCUCUUCGAGAAGGUAACCCGAAGCGGAGGAACUCGGUAGCAAUCAAAAGCAUGGAGGCAGUGAAUUGAGAGAAGACUGGCCGGCAGACGGGAGAACAGUCAGGUAACUUAUGCACGUAUAACCUGAAGGAACAACAUAAAGCUACCCAGCUGGGUGCCCAAAGAAGGGAAGAUGGUCAUUGGUUUCUCCCGGAUGGUCGAGAGGUACUAACCAAGGCAGGUACCAACCCGGAGAUUGGGUCCUGAUAAAGACUUGGAAGGAGAAGCUGACGCCCAGCUGGGAGGGACCCUUCCAGAUCCUUCUGACAUUUGACACCGCUGUCCAGACUCAGGAGCAGGGGUGGACCCAUCACACUCGCACCAAGGGACCUGUGGACGCUCUGGAGGCCUGGACCGCAGUUCCAGAUCCGGACAACGAACUAAGACUGCACCUCAGGAGAACGUAAGAUCUCCCCGAUGGACAAUUCCUCACCUCUGCUUAGGAGGUGAAGGAUCUUCGGUAUUUCUCUCUCGAUCAUAAUACCAUAGUCACUCUUUUGUUUUGUAAGUAGUGUAAUUGCAUGUAUUUCUAGAGGCCCCCACAUCCAAUCCAUCCAUCCCCGGCUGCACUAAUGGUGUCACUCCUUGGGGUCGACCAAGGUGACCUAGGGGGCCUUAAGAUGAUGGGCUUGCUGGGAGGAUCGAAAGGACCAACUCCGGUAUUGGGGAUGCUCCUGUUGGCCUCCAGCGUUUGCUCAGCCUUGCCCAUCAAUCCCUCUCCCAUUGGAGAAAACUAGUUCCAGCAAUUAAUCCAGAUGGUUGCUGUAACAUUUAAUCUAACUGCUGGAUCUGUGGUGGGCCACAAGGCUCAACCCAAUGGCCUUGGGUAUCCGUUGCCCUCAGCCCCGCUGGGAUUCUGAGUAAUCGGUCACAAACACAUAAUGGGACAGGGUUCUGGAAAGCAGAGGAGGAACACGAAUGGGCCUUAGCGGCAUCCCCGGAGAAUAAAUAUUGCCUAAAUCAGAUGGGAAUAGGGAGAGGGAUGGACAUUAGCCACUGUGAUUAAACUUAUACAAGGAGGACCAUUCUCAAAACCAUCAACUGUUCAUAGUAUAAGGAUCAAUGGAAACAGACCCAUGUCAAGUGCUCUAACGGAACCUGGGUGUCAUGCCUCGAUCACCCUCCUAACGCCCCAGAUGAGUUGGCUAAUAGUUCCUCAUGCCACUAUAACUUAGGAGGAGGGGGCGCAAUUAGGGGCAUGUGCAAAGGGAACUUAGAUCAUGCCAAGUGUAAGGCAGCAAAUCAAACUGGUGAUUGGACAAGGGUCCAUUAUGAAUGGAAGUGGCAAAAUCAGACGUGGAGAGGGGGACUAACUCAGUUUUGGAGUCUUCAAAACAAAACAGGGGCAAGUUGUGUAGGACAGUGUGAGUGGAAGGGCAAACAAAAACUUUGGAAGUACCAGUACGAUCACAACUACGGAGCGGGACCUUUGGGGCUAGUGGAUCAGCAAUAUUAUCCUAAUAUACGAGACAACGAAAAUUGAACUCGUAUAUUUAAGGAAAAACAGCUGGCCCUAAAGGGACACUAUUGGAUUUUUGGAAAGACAGCAUACACCCAUCUUCCUCUAAAUUGGACUAGGGUUUGUUAUAUAGGAUUAAUUCGGCCCAAAUUCUCCUUCCUACCAGAACAAGCUGGAAAGCAUCUGGCCAUUCCAUUAUAUGAAGAAAUGGGGAGGCUGACAAGAAGUAUAGACACCUCCCUUACCCAAGCUGGAAACACCAAUGGGCGGAGAAAGGAGUGGCCCCCUGAAAGAAUAAUUAAAGAAUAUGGGCCUGCGACCUGGGCUCAAGGUGGAAGUUGGAGAUAUAGAACUCCCAUCUACAUGCUGAACAGGUUAAUUAGGCUACAAGCCGUUGUGGAAGUCAUCACCAACCAAACAGCUAAGGCAUUGGACCUGUUAGCAGACCAAGUGACCCAGACACGGGAAGCAGAAAUACAACAUAGAUUAGUGGAAGUAGGAGGAGUCUGUGGGAAACUUAACCUUACCAAUUGUUGCAUGAAAAUCGACGAUAAUGGAAGACUAGUCAAAGAGAUAACACAAGACAUCAGGAAGAUAGCUUACGUCCCUGUUCAAACAUGGAGCUCCCCCUAUAAUAGUUCAUGGUGGGCAUGGUUUGGAGGUAGUUGGUGGAAGUAGGUUCUAUGGUUUGGUCUGAUUGCUCUCAGUGGAAUUGUCCUCCUACCCAUUUGCUGAUUACAGGGAUCGUACAAAGUUCCUUAUCCAGAACGGUCAAGACAGAAGGAAAUGUUCAAAUGAUGAUCAUGAAAAGCCAGGGAUGGCUCCCAAUAGAACGGGUUGACCCUGACAGGGAUGAUGUCGACGUCCAGUGCUCGGUGGCUUUGAGAAAAUUUGAACACAAGUAACUUGUGAGGAACCCUCAAGGAUUUCCAAAUAUAUGAGGAGGGAUUGAGUGGGAUAAAAUGGCUGACCAUAGUGUUGAGGUAUCCUCAGUUAGCUGAAAAUGGUGAAAUACUAGACUAAGGUUACAUCCCCCCAACCCCCCACCGAGACCACCUGACCAUUGGAAACACAAACUAGGCAAAAAUUCCCUAAUAAGGAAAGGAAUUCCGCCCAACCAAUGAAAACAAAAACCAACAGAAGAUGGGGGGGGGUUCUUUGUCUUUUCUCUAUUUAGCUAGCUGCUCUGUUUCUGUAAAAUGGGCACUCCUUGUUCCGACUCGUCGGAGCCGAGACUGUCCCCGCUUCUUGCAAGAACCAUAAUAAAACUCUUUUGAUUGUUACCUUGA